UACGAAGGGGGCUAGCGUUGUUCGGAAUUACUGGGCGUAAAGCGCACGUAGGCGGGUUUGUAAGUAGGGGGUGAAAUCCCAGGGCUCAACCCUGGAACUGCCUUCUAAACUGCAAGCCUGGAGGUCAGGAGAGGCGAGUGGAAUACCGAGUGUAGAGGUGAAAUUCGUAGAUAUUCGGUGGAACACCAGUGGCGAAGGCGACUCGCUGGACUGAUACUGACGCUGAGGUGCGAAAGCGUGGGGAGCAAACAGGAUUAGAAACCCGUGUAGU
rnacentral:rRNA from 1 species